rnacentral:misc_RNA from 1 species
AACGCACAUUGCGCCCCCUGGCAUUCCGGGGGGCAUGCCUGUUCGAGCGUCAUUACAACCCCUCAAGCACAGCUUGGUCAUGGGCUCUCGCUUCCAGUUUACUGAAGGCGUGCCCCAAAACAGUCGGCAGGACCACGCGGACCGCCGGGCGUAGCAGAUUGUAACGUCCAUGGUGACCGCGCUCCGCGCCGUAAAGCCCUGAAGUCUCACGACUUCUGUUUUUAAAGGUUGACCUCGGAUCAGGUAGGGAUACCCGCUGAACUUAA